ACGAACGCUGGCGGCGUGCUUAACACCUGCAAGUCGAACGGAAAGGCCCUGCUUUUGUGGGGUGCUCGAGUGGCGAACGGGUGAGUAACACGUGAGUAACCUGCCCUUGACUUUGGGAUAACUUCAGGAAACUGGGGCUAAUACCGGAUAGGGGCUCCUGCUGCAUGGUGGGGGUUGGAAAGUUUCGGCGGUUGGGGAUGGACUCGCGGCUUAUCAGCUUGUUGGUGGGGUAGUGGCUUACCAAGGCUUUGACGGGUAGCCGGCCUGAGAGGGUGACCGGCCACAUUGGGACUGAGAUACGGCCCAGACUCCUACGGGAGGCAGCAGUGGGGAAUAUUGCACAAUGGGCGGAAGCCUGAUGCAGCAACGCCGCGUGCGGGAUGACGGCCUUCGGGUUGUAAACCGCUUUCGCCUGUGACGAAGCGUGAGUGACGGUAAUGGGUAAAGAAGCACCGGCUAACUACGUG
rnacentral:rRNA from 1 species